AGAUCUGUAGUAUAUGACUAUAGUGCGUCCAUUACGUGUCGUAAACAUAGCUUUUGCUCAAGCGGUGUUUAAGGUUAGAAGAAAGCAAAUUUAAAUUAAACCAUGGCAGAUGUAUUAGAUAUUGAUAAUGCAGAAGAAUUUGAAGUUGAUGAUGAAGGCGAUCAGGGUAUUGCACGUUUGAAGGAAAAGGCGAAGAGAAGGAAAGGUAGAGGACAUGGCGCAGAGUUGGUUUCUACUCGUGACGAUGUUGGUCAUUAUGAGUCGAUGAACAUUGUUGAAGAAGAUGACGAUGAACCGGGUCCACAAAGAUCUGUAGAAGGAUGGAUUUUGUUUAUAAAUUCAGUACACGAAGAAGCACAAGAAGAUGAUAUUCAAGACAAAUUCUCAGAAUUUGGACAAAUUAAAAAUCUGCACUUAAAUUUGGAUCGAAGGACAGGAUUCUUAAAAGGAUAUGCUUUAGUUGAAUAUGAAACGUUUAAAGAAGCACAAGCAGCAAAAGAUGCUUUAAAUGGAACAGAAAUUUUAGGACAACCUAUCUCAGUCGAUUGGUGCUUUGUUAAAGGACCUAAAAAGAUAAAGAAGAGAAGCCAUAGAAGGCGAUGAGAUUUUAUUAAUUAAGACUUCUAUUUUCUUCAUAUACAACUAUUUGAGCUAAGAAAGAUUGUUUUUCACAUUAAUUGUAAAAAAGAAGCGGAUUAUUACAAAUUUUACAGUUUCCACCAAAAACUGAUUACUCAUACAGUGUAAACUUUGUUCAGUUACAAUUACUGUGUAUGAAAAUUAAAUGCUAGAUUGCGGCAUGAAACUGAUCUCCAUCUACUAGCGCAUAUUGCAAGAAGAUUGAGAUUAAUUAUUUGAAGAGAACUAUGGUUUUGAAGAACGUUGAUAUGCAGUUCCAUUAGACAUCCUUCACAUCUCACCGCAGUGCAGCGUAUGAAGCUA